rnacentral:rRNA from 1 species
GAUGAACGCUGGCGGCGUGCUUAACACAUGCAAGUCGAACGGGAAACCUUUUAUUGAAGCUUCGGCAGAUUUAGCUGGUUUCUAGUGGCGGACGGGUGAGUAACGCGUGGGUAACCUGCCUUAUACAGGGGGAUAACAGUCAGAAAUGGCUGCUAAUACCGCAUAAGCGCACAGAGCCGCAUGGCUCAGUGUGAAAAACUCCGGUGGUAUAAGAUGGACCCGCGUUGGAUUAGCUGGUUGGUGGGGUAACGGCCCACCAAGGCGACGAUCCAUAGCCGGCCUGAGAGGGUGAACGGCCACAUUGGGACUGAGACACGGCCCAGACUCCUACGGGAGGCAGCAGUGGGGAAUAUUGCACAAUGGGGGAAACCCUGAUGCAGCGACGCCGCGUGAAGGAAGAAGUAUCUCGGUAUGUAAACUUCUAUCAGCAGGGAAGAUAAUGACGGUACCUGACUAAGAAGCCCCGGCUAACUACGUG